rnacentral:rRNA from 1 species
GACGAACGCUGGCGGCGUGCUUAGCACAUGCAAGUCGAACGGAAAGGCCCUGCUUUUGUGGGGUGCUCGAGUGGCGAACGGGUGAGUAACACGUGAGUAACCUGCCCUUGACUUUGGGAUAACUUCAGGAAACUGGGGCUAAUACCGGAUAGGAGCUCCUGCUGCAUGGUGGGGGUUGGAAAGUUUCGGCGGUUGGGGAUGGACUCGCGGCUUAUCAGCUUGUUGGUGGGGUAGUGGCUUACCAAGGCUUUGACGGGUAGCCGGCCUGAGAGGGUGACCGGCCACAUUGGGGCUGAGAUACGGCCCAGACUCCUACGGGAGGCAGCAGUGGGGAAUAUUGCACAAUGGGCGGAAGCCUGAUGCAGCAACGCCGCGUGCGGGAUGACGGCCUUCGGGUUGUAAACCGCUUUCGCCUGUGACGAAGCGUGAGUGACGGUAAUGGGUAAAGAAGCACCGGCUAACUACGUG